UACAGAGGUCCCGAGCGUUGUUCGGAUUUACUGGGCGUAAAGGGUGCGUAGGUGGUCGGGUAAGUCUCAUGUGAAAUCCCGCAGCUUAACUGCGGAACGGCAUGGGAUACUAUUCGGCUCGAGGAUUGGAGGGGGGACUGGAAUUCCCGGUGUAGCAGUGAAAUGCGUAGAUAUCGGGAGGAACACCAGUGGCGAAGGCGAGUCCCUGGACAAUUCUGUGACGCUGAGGUGCGAAAGCGUGGGGAGCAAACAGGG
rnacentral:rRNA from 1 species